rnacentral:SRP_RNA from 1 species
GCCAGGCAUGGUGGCGGGCGCCUGUAGUCCCAGCUACUUGGGAGGCUGAGGCAGGAGAAUCGCUUGAACCCAGGAGGCAGAGGUUGCAGUGAGCCGAGAUUGCGCCACUGCACUCCAGCCUGGGUGACAGAGUGAGACCCUGUCUCAA